rnacentral:snoRNA from 1 species
AAACCAUGAUGAGGGCAUUAUGACCAAUAGCCCUUGAACCUCUCCCAUGCUUCACUGAAGCUCUCUAGACCUUUCUGUUGAAAUCCAUAGAUUUUGUUCGUGAUCUU